UAGGGGUCAUUCUAUCGUACCCACCUAUAUUUUUAGUGGGUAUGAUACCCACCCAAAUCUUAACCGUAUAUUUUUAUUGUUUCAAUCUUGAUCGUUCAUUUAAGUUUAGUAGUGGACCUAUUACCGGUAGAAUAGGUAGCGUAUAAAAACAAAAGAAAGCCAAAAGAAAAAGAAAGAAACGAAGAACGAAAGAUUGGUAAAAAGAAAAAAGAGAACGAAAGACAAAAAGGGCUAAGAAGUUGAACAAGAGACCUGGCAAGCCACCGCCACCGCCGCCGCCACUGCUACUCUUCAUUUGGUUUGGGUAUUUUGGGUUAUAUGUUUGCUAGUUACUUGUGAUGAUUUGGGAACAAGGAUCCACGCACUGAAAUUUAAAUCAGCCAAAACGGGUUGUCCCCCAAAAUCUUCUCAAAUUAAGUGAGUAAAAUUAACAUUAUAUAUGAAUAAUCAUGCAUGAUGACAGGGUUCUGCAGAACAAUCUUCAUAUGGUCACAUUAUUGAUGAUAUCCUCCAUGAUUCGUCCCAGCUAAGUUUUAGAGUGAUUGAUACACCCACUGAUGGGAGGGAAUUGUUGGAGGCAUUGAAGGAUGUUGAAGACCAUUUUAUCAGAGCUUAUGAUUCUGGUUUGGAAGUUUCUAGGAUGCUGGAGGCCAAUAGAGUUCCAAUGCUGUCUGGUUUGGAGGAAAUAAAAGGCGUUUGCAACCAUGCCUUCCGGUUCCACUACAUCAGUCGAGGAUUGAAAACUCUCCAAGUUUGCCCAUUGGUGAUGUACUAUGUUUUAUGGAUCUGGUGUGUCUGUAUUGUUAUUGUUUAGAGUAUUAUAAACAAAUAACAAUUAUAAUUAUGCAAGUUCCCAUUUGAAAGUUUUGGAUAAUUUAUAAUUAUGUUAAUCUUGUAGUUCCUUGAGUUAUUUGGAUGUGAAAACGUGCAUGGUUGGAAGUCACCAACUACAAAAUGUGGCAAAUGCCCACUCAUGCAACAUUUUGCCUUCGUAAUCGAGGUUUCUUUGAUUGUGUUCUCCACCAAAGGGAAGCUUUUUUUAGUAUUCUAUCGAUUUCAGGUUUAUAAUUCUAUUACAACAUUUUUCGUUUUGUCAUUUUAUUACUAGUAAUAAGAGCAGCGUGUAUGAAAUUGUCAGUUUGUAAGAAAAUUUGGCACAAGUUAAGCCUGGAAAAAGAGCUAGAUUCCAUUACAUGUUCAUUUCCUUAUAAUUUAUGGGUGUCACCCUUUGUUUCUCAGUUCUUUUAGGUAGUUAUGAAGAAUCUAAUUUAUAGUUUUAAAUUUUGGUAUGAGAGUUUUAACAAUGAUAUCAUGUAUAUUUUAUGCCAAAGUCUCCAACCCCAAUGAAGAUGGAAAAUUAUAGAUUUAUGGGCUAGUAUCAAUUAUCUUUGUAAUUAAUAAAGAGAUGAUGAACUCCACUUUGUUUUUUUAUUUUAGUAAGCAUUAGUUGGUGCAGCUUUGCAAUUUUUGUAACAAUACUAUUAAUUGCUUGAUUAUGUCAUUGAGCCAUUCAUGUAACAAUACUAUUAAUUUUGCUAACUUGCAAGUGGACAUGUUGAUAAUUAGCUUUGCACAUUCUUUUUAUUUAAAUUUGUAUUGUUGAGUUUUCAAACAUUGUUAUGUAAAAGCAAAGUAACAUUAUUCUGUAGAAUCUUGUGCACUUGUUGUGAAGCUCUGAAUUUCCUGAUUUUGGUUUAAUCUUGGACUGUGUAUAAUCUUAACAUUGAUCUAUACAUAUUAGAUUUUUAAAUAUAUUUUAUUUUAGUUUUGAUUUUGGAAAUGCAUAGGAGAUAUUUGUGAAAUUAUCUAUUAGAAACUUUGAAGUGAUGUUAAGCUAUUUUAUAUGCAUGUUAUGCAGUCUUGAAGGUGAUUCGUCAGAUUGAGAAAUGCACCAGAUUGCAGGAGCUCUCUCAAGUUUACUAUGCUCCUAUUGGACCCUUGGAAUGAUAAGUCAGGGAGCUCUUGGAUUGUGCCCUGCCGAAACCUCCUGCACCAUGUCUAAGUAAUAACUCUUUUUUUAUUCCAACCGGUCAAUUGCAGUUUUGGCCUUAGGGAAUGCAAGAAUUAGGUUUGGCCCUUGGAAAAAAAAUGUUGAAGUAUGAACUAUGAAAUAGACUUGUCAUGAGUCAUGACUAUGACAUUAUUUUUGCAUUUUAUUGUUGCUAUUGUAUAAUCAAAUCAUUGAGCAAGA